rnacentral:lncRNA from 1 species
GGGGGGGGGGGGGGGGGGGGGGGGGGGGGGCACGACGGGAGCGCGCCCCGCCCGCCGCUUCGAACACACACAGGAAGCGGCGGCGCGCGGCGCCAUGGCAACGGCCCCGGUGACGUCACAGCAUGGUUUUCCUUGUUUCUGGAGUGCCAGUCCUCGCAGCAGCUGAGCCUAGUGACCCUUUUCCAGCCCAGCCUGGAGG